UAACACAUGCAAGUCGAGCGCCCCGCAAGGGGAGCGGCAGACGGUUGAGUAACGCGUGGGAAUCUACCUAGCUCUACGGAAUAACCCAGGGAAACUUGGACUAAUACCGUAUACGUCCUUCGGGAGAAAGAUUUAUCGGAGUUGGAUGAGCCCGCGUUGGAUUAGCUAGUUGGUGGGGUAAUGGCCUACCAAGGCGACGAUCCAUAGCUGGUCUGAGAGGAUGAUCAGCCACACUGGGACUGAGACACGGCCCAGACUCCUACGGGAGGCAGCAGUGGGGAAUAUUGGACAAUGGCGAAAGCCUGAUCCAGCCAUGCCGCGUGAGUGAUGAAGGCCCUAGGGUUGUAAAGCUCUUUCAACGGUGAAGAUAAUGACGGUAACCGUAGAAGAAGCCCCGGCUAACUUCGUGCCAGCAGCCGCGGUAAUACGAAGGGGGCUAGCGUUGUUCGGAAUUACUGGGCGUAAAGCGCACGUAGGCGGACUAUUAAGUCAGGGGUGAAAUCCCGGGGCUCAACCCCGGAACUGCCUUUGAUACUGGUAGUCUAGAGUCCGAGAGAGGUGAGUGGAAUUCCGAGUGUAGAGGUGAAAUUCGUAGAUAUUCGGAGGAACACCAGUGGCGAAGGCGGCUCACUGGCUCGGUACUGACGCUGAGGUGCGU
rnacentral:rRNA from 1 species